rnacentral:rRNA from 1 species
CCUACGGGUGGCAGCAGUGAGGAAUAUUGGUCAAUGGACGAGAGUCUGAACCAGCCAAGUAGCGUGAAGGAUGACUGCCCUAUGGAUUGUAAACUUCUUUUAUAAAGGAAUAAAACGAGGCACGUGUGCCUUUUUGCAUGUACUUUAUGAAUAAGGAUCGGCUAACUCCGUGCCAGCAGCCGCGGUAAUACGGAGGAUCCGAGCGUUAUCCGGAUUUAUUGGGUUUAAAGGGAGCGUAGAUGGGUUGUUAAGUCAGUUGUGAAAGUUUGCGGCUCAACCGUAAAAUUGCAAUUGAUACUGGCAGUCUAGAGUACAGUUGAGGUAGGCGGAAUUCGUGGUGUAGCGGUGAAAUGCUUAGAUAUCACGAAGAACCCCGAUUGCGAAGGCAGCUUACUAAACUGUGACUGACAUUGAUGCUCGAAAGUGUGGGUAUCAAACAGGAUUAGAUACCCUAGUAGUC